rnacentral:ncRNA from 1 species
UCAACGGGGUGCCUUGUUUAUAACAAUGCUGAGAGAAACCCGUAGAACCUGAACUGAUUAGUAUCUGCGUAGGGAUUUGAGA